UACGUAGGCAGCGAGCGUUGUUCGGAGUUACUGGGCGUAAAGGGUGCGUAGGCGGUUGUUUAAGUUUGGUGUGAAAUCUCCCGGCUUAACUGGGAGGGUGCGCCGGAAACUGGAGUGCUCGAGCGUGGGAGAGGAAAGCGGAAUUCCUGGUGUAGCGGUGAAAUGCGUAGAUAUCAGGAGGAACACCUGCGGUGUAGACGGCUUUCUGGACCAUUGCUGACGCUGAGACACGAAAGCGUGGGUAGCAAACAGG
rnacentral:rRNA from 1 species